ACACUGAUUGCAAUAUGUUUGCCACGUAACAAAGUCUACCACUUUGAUUCUUUGCGUAAAUAAACAAUACUAAAUGUACAUCUAAUCUUAUAAUAAUGUAUUGAUGUAGUGUGAUGAAGGGGGUUAUUGCAUCUGGACUUCGACAACCAAAACCUCCUGUUUGGCAUUUAGUCGAGUGUCCAAUACAAGUAGGUGGACGUGCGUGUGGGUAUUACGUCAUGAGGUUCAUGCUCGAUAUCGUCAACCAUUGCAAAGAUGUUGGUGAUCUUCGAAAUGUUUAUGCGAAUUCCACACCACGUUUGAGGAACUUCACCAAAGAAGAAAUAGAUUAAGUUCGGGAUAAGUUGGCGUCCCACAUUACCGAUGAUUGCAUAAGAUGACAUUUUAGCUCGAAUGUAUUAGUUUCUAUCAAUCUUAUGUACACUUUUUACAUUAUUAAAUAUAUUUGAAGUUAAUUAUUACCUUUA